rnacentral:rRNA from 1 species
AGAGUUUGAUCAUGGCUCAGAACGAACGCUGGCGGCGUGCCUGAGACAUGCAAGUCGUGGGAGAAAGUCGGGGCAACCCGGCUAGUAAACCGGCGCACGGGUGAGUAACACGUGGGCAACCUGCCCUGAAGACCGGGAUAACCCGUCGAAAGACGGGCUAAUACCGGAUAAGACCCCGGGUAGUUCGCUAUCUGAGGUAAAAGGUGGCCUCCGCUCCUGCAAGCUAUCACUUUAGGAGGGGCCCGCGGCCUAUCAGCUAGUUGGUGAGGUAACGGCUCACCAAGGCUUAGACGGGUAGCUGGUCUGAGAGGAUGGUCAGCCACACUGGGACUGAGACACGGCCCAGAGUCCUACGGGAUGCAGCAGUCAGGAAUAUUGCGCAAUGGAGGAAACUCUGACGCAGCGACGCCGCGUGGGUGAUGAAGGCCUUCGGGUCGUAAAGCCCUGUCGGAGGGGAAGAAAAGCCUGUUGGCUAAUAUCCAGCGGGCCUUUGACGGUACCCUCAAAGGAAGCACCGGCUAACUCCGUGCCAGCAGCCGCGGUAAGACGGAGGGUGCAAGCGUUGUUCGGAUUGACUGGGCGUAAAGGGCGUGUAGGCGGUUGGUCAAGUCUGGUGUGAAAGCCCGGGGCUUAACCCCGGAAGUGCAUUGGAAACUAGCCAGCUAGAGCGCGAGAGAGGAGGGUGGAAUUCCUGGUGUAGCGGUGAAAUGCGUAGAUAUCAGGAGGAACACCGGCGGCGAAGGCGGCCCUUUGGCUCGUUGCUGACGCUGAAACGCGAAAGCGUGGGGAGCAAACAGGAUUAGAUACCCUAGUAGUCC